UACGUAGGGGGGCAAGCGUUGUCCGGAAUCAUUGGGCGUAAAGCGCGUGUAGGCGGCUCGGUAAGUCCGCUCUGAAAGUCCAGGGCUCAACCCUGGGAUGCGGGUGGAUACUGCCGGGCUCGAGUCCGGAAGAGGCGAGUGGAAUUCCCGGUGUAGCGGUGAAAUGCGCAGAUAUCGGGAGGAACACCAAUGGCGAAGGCAGCUCGCUGGGACGUGACUGACGCUGAGACGCGAAAGCGUGGGGAGCAAACAGG
rnacentral:rRNA from 1 species